AGUAGCUGGUUCCCUCCGAA
rnacentral:ncRNA from 2 species